rnacentral:rRNA from 1 species
AGAGUUUGAUCCUGGCUCAGAUUGAACGCUGGCGGCAUGCCUUACACAUGCAAGUCGAACGGCAGCACGGGAGUAAUCCUGGUGGCGAGUGGCGAACGGGUGAGUAACAUAUCGGAACGUGCCCAGUCGUGGGGGAUAACGCAGCGAAAGCUGUGCUAAUACCGCAUACGAUCUCUGGAUGAAAGCGGGGGACUCUGCAAAGAGCCUCGCGCGAUUGGAGCGGCCGAUAUCAGAUUAGCUAGUUGGUGGGGUAAAAGCCCACCAAGGCGACAAUCUGUAGCUGGUCUGAGAGGACAACCAGCCACACUGGAACUGGGACACGGUCCAGACUCCUACGGGAGGCAGCAGUGGGGAAUUUUGGACAAUGGGCGAAAGCCUGAUCCAGCAAUGCCGCGUGCAGGAUGAAGGCCUUCGGGUUGUAAACUGCUUUUGUACGGAACGAAACGGUUCACUCUAAUACGGUGGGCUAAUGACGGUACCGUAAGAAUAAGCACCGGCUAACUACGUGCCAGCAGCCGCGGUAAUACGUAGGGUGCGAGCGUUAAUCGGAAU